rnacentral:rRNA from 1 species
UACGAAGGGGGCGAGCGUUGUUCGGAAUUACUGGGCGUAAAGGGCUCGUAGGCGGCCAACUAAUUCAGACGUGAAAUCCCUCGGCUUAACCGGGGAACUGCGUCUGAUACUGGAUGGCUUGAAUCCGGGAGAGGGAUGCGGAAUUCCAGGUGUAGCGGUGAAAUGCGUAGAUAUCAGGAGGAACACCGGUGGCGAAGGCGGUUCUCUGGGCAUUAACUGACGCUGAGGAGCGAAAGUGUGGGGAGCGAACAGG